rnacentral:rRNA from 1 species
AGAGUUUGAUCCUGGCUCAGGAUGAACGCCCUUUGUGUGCCUAAUACAUGCAAGUCGUACGCACUGGCCCAACUGAUUGAUGGUGCUUGCACCUGAUUGACGAUGGAUCACCAGUGAGUGGCGGACGGGUGAGUAACACGUAGGUAACCUGCCUCGGAGCGGGGGAUAACAUUUGGAAACAGAUGCUAAUACCGCAUAACAACAAAAGCCACAUGGCUUUUGUUUGAAAGAUGGCUUUGGCUAUCACUCUGGGAUGGACCUGCGGUGCAUUAGCUAGUUGGUAAGGUAACGGCUUACCAAGGCAAUGAUGCAUAGCCGAGUUGAGAGACUGAUCGGCCACAAUGGAACUGAGACACGGUCCAUACUCCUACGGGAGGCAGCAGUAGGGAAUCUUCCACAAUGGGCGCAAGCCUGAUGGAGCAACACCGCGUGAGUGAAGAAGGGUUUCGGCUCGUAAAGCUCUGUUGUUGGAGAAGAACGUGCGUGAGAGUAACUGUUCACGCAGUGACGGUAUCCAACCAGAAAGUCACGGCUAACUACGUGCCAGCAGCCGCGGUAAUACGUAGGUGGCAAGCGUUAUCCGGAUUUAUUGGGCGUAAAGCGAGCGCAGGCGGUUGCUUAGGUCUGAUGUGAAAGCCUUCGGCUUAACCGAAGAAGUGCAUCGGAAACCGGGCGACUUGAGUGCAGAAGAGGACAGUGGAACUCCAUGUGUAGCGGUGGAAUGCGUAGAUAUAUGGAAGAACACCAGUGGCGAAGGCGGCUGUCUGGUCUGCAACUGACGCUGAGGCUCGAAAGCAUGGGUAGCGAACAGGAUUAGAUACCCUGGUAGUCCAUGCCGUAAACGAUGAGUGCUAGGUGUUGGAGGGUUUCCGCCCUUCAGUGCCGGAGCUAACGCAUUAAGCACUCCGCCUGGGGAGUACGACCGCAAGGUUGAAACUCAAAGGAAUUGACGGGGGCCCGCACAAGCGGUGGAGCAUGUGGUUUAAUUCGAAGCUACGCGAAGAACCUUACCAGGUCUUGACAUCUUGCGCUAACCUUAGAGAUAAGGCGUUCCCUUCGGGGACGCAAUGACAGGUGGUGCAUGGUCGUCGUCAGCUCGUGUCGUGAGAUGUUGGGUUAAGUCCCGCAACGAGCGCAACCCUUGUUACUAGUUGCCAGCAUUAAGUUGGGCACUCUAGUGAGACUGCCGGUGACAAACCGGAGGAAGGUGGGGACGACGUCAGAUCAUCAUGCCCCUUAUGACCUGGGCUACACACGUGCUACAAUGGACGGUACAACGAGUCGCAAGCUCGCGAGAGUAAGCUAAUCUCUUAAAGCCGUUCUCAGUUCGGACUGUAGGCUGCAACUCGCCUACACGAAGUCGGAAUCGCUAGUAAUCGCGGAUCAGCAUGCCGCGGUGAAUACGUUCCCGGGCCUUGCACACACCGCCCGUCA